rnacentral:rRNA from 1 species
GACGAACGCUGGCGGCGUGCCUAAUACAUGCAAGUCGAACGCUUUUUCUUUCACCGGAGCUUGCUCCACCGAAAGAAAAAGAGUGGCGAACGGGUGAGUAACACGUGGGUAACCUGCCCAUCAGAAGGGGAUAACACUUGGAAACAGAUGCUAAUACCGUAUAACACUAUUUUCCGCAUGGAAGAAAGUUGAAAGGCGCUUUUGCGUCACUGAUGGAUGGACCCGCGGUGCAUUAGCUAGUUGGUGAGGUAACGGCUCACCAAGGCAACGAUGCAUAGCCGACCUGAGAGGGUGAUCGGCCACACUGGGACUGAGACACGGCCCAGACUCCGACGGGAGGCAGCAGUAGGGAAUCUUCGGCAAUGGACGAAAGUCUGACCGAGCAACGCCGCGUGAGUGAAGAAGGUUUUCGGAUCGUAAAACUCUGUUGUUAGAGAAGAACAAGGAUGAGAGAAAAACGUUCAUCCCUUGACGGUAUCUAACCAGAAAGCCACGGCUAACUACGUGCCAGCCGCCGCGGUAA